UACGUAGGGUGCAAGCGUUAUCCGGAAUUAUUGGGCGUAAAGAGCUCGUAGGCGGUUUGUCGCGUCUGCUGUGAAAAACCCGAGGCUCAACCUCGGGCCUGCAGUGGGUACGGGCAGACUAGAGUGCGGUAGGGGAGAUUGGAAUUCCUGGUGUAGCGGUGGAAUGCGCAGAUAUCAGGAGGAACACCGAUGGCGAAGGCAGAGU
rnacentral:rRNA from 1 species